GACGAACGCUGGCGGCGUGCUUAACACAUGCAAGUCGAGCGGUAAGGCCCUUCGGGUACACGAGCGGCGAACGGGUGAGUAACACGUGGGUGACCUGCCCUUAGCUCUGGGAUAAGCCUGGGAAACUGGGUCUAAUACCGGAUAUGACCUCAUGACGCAUGUUGUGGGGUGGAAAGCCUUGUGCGGCUAGGGAUGGGCCCGCGGCCUAUCAGCUUGUUGGUGGGGUGAUGGCCACCAAGGCGACGACGGGUAGCCGGCCUGAGAGGGCGACCGGCCACACUGGGACUGAGACACGGCCCAGACUCCUACGGGAGGCAGCAGUGGGGAAUCUUGCGCAAUGGGCGAAAGCCUGACGCAGCGACGCCGCGUGAGGGAUGACGGCCUCGGUUGUAA
rnacentral:rRNA from 1 species